GAAAACUAGAGAAGUUUCUCUCUUUCAAGAUGUGAUGUCUUGUAAUUUUUGGAACUCCAUGUUCAUGGUGUGUCAUAUCUAUGUUCAUGGCUGGUCUAGACGUAUCAUAGAUCCUUUCACAGAUCUUUGUGGCGUCUCUCAAUCCAUCUCUCUAUCCAUUCCUUGUUGGUGUGUCAUAUCCAGCAAGCUGUCAAUUUAUUUGGUGUGUAAUAUCUAGAGAAUCGAUCCACUGGUGAAUCAAAGGAAUUUCCGCAACCUUUGUUGUGCUAUUCAAUCCACAUCCUUUGAUCUUUGAGAUUUCACAGUCUCUAGGAUGCAAAGCUUAUCCCCUCACCACCUUAGAGUGCAUCAUCCUUGGGAGGUUUACAUUAUUUGGUAUCAAAGCAACACUCUAAGUCUGGUUUUAUCAUUCCAUAUGUCUAUCAUUUUCUCACCUAUUCAUCUUCUUUCAAUCAUCUUCUCAUCUUUCAUUCUCUAUUUCUUUUUUUUUUCUUUCUUUCUAUUUUUAUAAUUAUUUCGUCAGAGAGAAAGUGCUACUAGAUACUCUUCUUUUAUACGAACCAGAUUUGUGAGCAAAUCUUUUUUUUAAGAGGAAGGGAAUGAUAUGAUCAUGGGAAACAGUAAAGAUGUACGUUCAUUGUUUGACUCAUAUCUUCGAAACCACGAGGCUUCUACGCAUGAAAUCACUUGGAAAAUGUGCUCAACUCAAUUACGGAGCUCCUCGAAGAAAAAUCAGAUCAAACGGACUUCAGAUGAAGGAGUUACGCAAUUUACAAAACAGGUGAUCUUCAGUUUAUGCGAAUUUGGACCUAUGUGCAUUCAAUGAACAAUUCCGACCAGCCCAGAUGGAAUUAAGCCACAAGCCCAAUUUUUCUACAAUCUUGGUACAUCAGAGAAGUCCAUAAAAGUGGAUUCAGCCCAAAAAUAUCAAAAGAAGACUGAUUUUCGUCCAGAUUUAAAAUAGUAUUUAUUUAAGUGUGUUUCUCUCUUUCAUCUUUCAUUCUCUAUUUCUUUUUUUUUUCUUUCUUUCUAUUUUUAUAAUUAUUUCGUCAGAGAGAAAGUGCUACUAGAUACUCUUCUUUUAUACGAACCAGAUUUGUGAGCAAAUCUUUUUUUUAAGAGGAAGGGAAUGAUAUGAUCAUGGGAAACAGUAAAGAUGUACGUUCAUUGUUUGACUCAUAUCUUCGAAACCACGAGGCUUCUACGCAUGAAAUCACUUGGAAAAUGUGCUCAACUCAAUUACGGAGCUCCUCGAAGAAAAAUCAGAUCAAACGGACUUCAGAUGAAGGAGUUACGCAAUUUACAAAACAGGUGAUCUUCAGUUUAUGCGAAUUUGGACCUAUGUGCAUUCAAUGAACAAUUCCGACCAGCCCAGAUGGAAUUAAGCCACAAGCCCAAUUGUUCUACAAUCUUGGUACAUCAGAGAAGCCCAUAAAAGUGGAUUCAGCCCAAAAAUAUCAAAAGAAGACUGAUUUUCGUCCAGAUUUGUCUAGAUUCAAAAUAGCAUUUAUUUAAGUGUGUUUCUCUCUCUUGCAUGCAGAAUAGAGUUUGAAUUUCAACUCCCAAGUUGUGCUGCAUGUUAGGAUACUUUUAUGGACGAAAAUUACUUGUAUUUCUCUAUAAAAAGAGCCCAAAAAUCAUGAAUAAGAAUAAGUUUGUUUUUCAGUGAAAAUUAGAGAAGUUUCUCUCUUUCAAGAUGUGAUGUCUUGUAAUUUUUGGAACUCCAUGUUCAUGGUGUGCAUGGCCGGCCUUGAGGGGAAGCCAUCCAAGCCAAGGAUUAGGGCAUCCAAAUUAGUGGGGCAUAUGUUUAAAAAAAAAAAAUUAUUAGUAUGUAGUAUAUACAUAAAAAAAAAAUCUGUAGAUUAUUCUGUUAAAAUAUUAUCUAUUGUGCAUAUUUAGUUAUUAUAAGAUUUGUCAAACUUUUUAAAUAUAUUAGUAAAAUUAUAUUUUAGGUUGAAUGAGUUGGCUAUAUUAUCAAUUGAGACUGUUAUGGUCGAAAAACUUGACUAUAAGAGUUUAAUGGAUGAUUUUGCAGAAAAAAAUGCAAGAAGAUCUAUAUUUCAACAAUAAGUGUUUUUAUAUCAAUGUUUUUUAUAAACAUAUUAUGAAAUCUGGUUUUUUUAAUGAAAAUUUAAGUUACUUUUAAUACUGUUUUGUGAUCUUGAUAAAACAUGUACGAGGGCAUAGUUUUAAAUUUUGAUUGGGGCAAUAUAAAAGGUUGGUCCGGCACUGAUGGUGUGUCAUAUCUAUGUUCAUGGCUGGUCUAGACUUAUCAUAGAUCCUUUCACAGAUCUUUGUGGCGUCUCUCAAUCCAUCUCUCUAUCCAUUCCUUGUUGGUGUGUCAUAUCCAGCAAGCUGUCGAUUUCUUUGGUGUGUAAUAUCUAGAGAAUCGAUCCACUGGUGAAUCAAAGGAAUUUCCGCAACCUUUGUGUUCUAUUCAAUCCACAUCCUUUGAUCUUUGAGAUUUCACAGUCUCUAGGAUGCAAAGCUUAUCCCCUCACCACCUUAG
rnacentral:lncRNA from 1 species